AGUGAAUAGAUACCCUGGUAGUCCACGCUGUAAACGAUGUCGACUAGCCGUUGGUUUCUUAUAGAGAUUAGUGGCGCAGCUAACGCAUUAAGUCGACCGCCUGGGGAGUACGGCCGCAAGGUUAAACUCAAAUGAAUUGACGGGGGCCCGCACAAGCGGUGGAGCAUGUGGUUUAAUUCGAUGCAACGCGAAGAACCUCACCUACCCUUGACAUCCUGCGAACUUUUAGAGAUAGAAAGGUGCCUUCGGGAGCGCAGAGACAGGUGCUGCAUGGCUGUCGUCAGCUCGUGUUGUGAAAUGUUGGGUUAAGUCCCGUAACGAGCGCAACCCUCAUCCUUAGUUGCCGACAGGUUAAGCUGGGAACUCUAGGGAGACUGCCGGUGAUAAACCGGAGGAAGGUGGGGACGACGUCAAGUCAUCAUGGCCCUUAUGGUAGGGCUACACACGUGCUACAAUGGCCGGUACAGAGGGCUGCGAACUUGUAAAAGUAAGCCAAUCCCACAAAAGCCGGUCUUAGUCCGGAUUGAGGUCUGCAACUCGACC
rnacentral:rRNA from 1 species